UGUUUUCCUGUUAACUUUCCCGUUAUUGUUGCGCGUCCCCUGCGGCCAUCUCCCGGCGUGUGAGGCGCCCUUUCCCCGUCGGGUUUUUCCUAAACCCAACCUCCGCCAUCCCGUUAUUGUUGCGCGUCCCCUGCGGCCAUCUCCCGGCAUGUGAGGCGCCCUUUCCCCGUCGGGUUUUUCCUAAACCC